rnacentral:rRNA from 1 species
UACGGAGGGUGCAAGCGUUAAUCGGAAUUACUGGGCGUAAAGCGCGCGUAGGCGGUUAUCUAAGCUGGAUGUGAAAGCCCCGGGCUCAACCUGGGAACUGCAUUCAGAACUGGAUGGCUGGAAUACAGAAGAGGGGUGUGGAAUUUCCGGUGUAGCGGUGAAAUGCGUAGAGAUCGGAAGGAACAUCAGUGGCGAAGGCGACACCCUGGUCUGAUAUUGACGCUGAGGUGCGAAAGCGUGGGUAGCAAACAGG